UACGUAGGGUGCGAGCGUUAAUCGGAAUUACUGGGCGUAAAGCGUGCGCAGGCGGUUUUGUAAGCCAGAUGUGAAAUCCCCGGGCUUAACCUGGGAAUGGCAUUUGGGACUGCAAGGCUUGAGUGCGGCAGAGGAGACUGGAAUUCCUGGUGUAGCAGUGAAAUGCGUAGAUAUCAGGAGGAACACCGAUGGCGAAGGCAGCUCGCUAGGACGGUACUGACGCUGAGGCGCGAAAGCGUGGGGAGCAAACAGG
rnacentral:rRNA from 1 species